AGGACGAACGCUGGCGGCGUGCUUAACACAUGCAAGUCGAGCGGAAAGGCCCUUCGGGGUACUCGAGCGGCGAACGGGUGAGUAACACGUGAGCAACCUGCCCCUGACAUUGGGAUAACCCCGGGAAACCGGGGCUAAUACCGGGUAGGACAUCAUGCGGCAUCGUGUGGUGUGGAAAGUUUUUGCGGUCAGGGAUGGGCUCGCGGCCUAUCAGCUUGUUGGUGGGUGAUGGCCUACCAAGGCGACGACGGGUA
rnacentral:rRNA from 1 species